rnacentral:rRNA from 1 species
UACGGAGGGUGCUAGCGUUGUUCGGAAUUACUGGGCGUAAAGCGCACGUAGGCGGCUUUGUAAGUUAGAGGUGAAAGCCCGGGGCUCAACUCCGGAAUUGCCUUUAAGACUGCAUCGCUAGAAUUGUGGAGAGGUAAGUGGAAUUCCGAGUGUAGAGGUGAAAUUCGUAGAUAUUCGGAAGAACACCAGUGGCGAAGGCGACUUACUGGAAAAAUAUUGACGCUGAGGUGCGAAAGCGUGGGGAGCAAACAGG